rnacentral:pre_miRNA from 1 species
AAUGGACAACGAUGUUGGCACGGUUCAAUCAAAUCAAAUCUCUCUAUGAUUUGGGUCCUUUGAUAUGAUUGAGUCGUGCCAAUAUCAAUUUUUGUUUG